CAGCUCCGCUGAGGAGCCCAGAAGUGAUGCUAACGCGACUACUUUCCCAACAACCCUCUCUCCAAAGCAGUCGCGAGCCAGCUGCAAGGGGACCAUUUUCGGAACCAUCCUUCAAAGCCUCAGGAGCCUUUGCAUUUUUUAGAAGUGACUCAUCGCCUCAAGUCAGGUUCUGCAGGAACACCAGCUCGGUUUCUUUCCAGCACUGGCUGACCACGGUGGCCCCGCUCACAUCCGUCUGGGUGACAGCCAUCCCUGCACCCCGAGCCGAGCGGAAGAGACCCCUCAAAAUCGGAAACUGUCGAUUUUGA
rnacentral:lncRNA from 1 species